rnacentral:rRNA from 1 species
CACCAGACUCCUACGGGAGGCAGCAGUGGGGAAUAUUGCACAAUGGGGGAAACCCUGAUGCAGCGACGCCGCGUGAGCGAUGAAGUAUUUCGGUAUGUAAAGCUCUAUCAGCAGGGAAGAAAAUGACGGUACCUGACUAAGAAGCCCCGGCUAACUACGUGCCAGCAGCCGCGGUAAUACGUAGGGGGCAAGCGUUAUCCGGAUUUACUGGGUGUAAAGGGAGCGUAGACGGAAAGGCAAGUCAGAAGUGAAAACCCAAGGCUCAACCAUGGGACUGCUUUUGAAACUGUCAAACUAGGGUACGGGAGAGGUAAGAGGAAUUCCUAGUGUAGCGGUGAAAUGCGUAGAUAUUAGGAGGAACACCAGUGGCGAAGGCGUCUUACUGGACCGAAACUGACGUUGAGGCUCGAAAGCGUGGGGAGCGAACAGGAUUAGAUACCCCUGUAC